rnacentral:lncRNA from 1 species
AUGGCCAAGUUCAAGAACCAUACCACAUAAAACCAGUCCCCAAAAUGGUACAGAGAUUGUAUUAAGAAAACUCAGUCACAAAGAUAUGAAUUUCUUAAGUGGGUGGACCCCAAAUUUCUGAGAAACAUGUAGUUUUCCAAGAGGCACAUUAAUCAAGACCUGAAGAAAAUGCAGGCCAACAAUACCAAGGCUAUGAGUUCAUGUGUCGAGGGUAUCAAGGUCUUCACAAAGCCAAAGAAAAUCAAGCCCAAUACCCCAAAGGGGAUCAGCUUGAAGCCCAAUCAACUUCUUUGUAUUGCCUACCUGAGGCUCAGGAAGUGUGCCCUCAUCACCAAAGGUCUCAGGCUCUUGUGGCCAAAGGCUCAAACCAGGACCCAAGCUGUGGCUUGGUCUUUUGCCUCACUUCCCAGCUCCAGUUCAAAA